UGGACAGCGACCCCCAUCAAUUUCUACAGAAUUGGAGGAGAGGAGGAGAGGCGAGGAGGAGGAGAGGCGAGGAGGCGAGUAGGAGGCGGAGGAGAGGAGGAGGCGGCGGAGGAGAGGCGAGGAGGAGGAGAGGCGAGGAGGAGGAGGCGGUAAGGAAAAGAAGAAAAGAAGAGGCGACACCAUGAGGAAGAGAAAGAGAGAACUGACAACCCUUGAUGAGGAGGAGUGACGAAGGACUCAUCCAGCUAUUUCUAGGCAGGGACAGCUGCUAUAAGAUCGCUGACAAGGUAGUAUAUAAAGGGAAAGAAUAGAUGUUGUACAGAUAGUAGGAAAUACAGGGAUAUACUGGAGACAUACAGGUACUGUAUAAUAGAAUGUAUUUAGAUAAGAAAUGUAUUACCAGCCUCUAACUCUUCUCAUCCCUCUAGUAUCUCCUGACCAUGGUCCUCAUCUACUUCCGAAGAGCCAACCUGCAUACGGAGGAAUAUAACAUCUACUUCUUUCC